GACUCUGAAGAAAAGUGUGGAAGAGAAGAAGUGUUAGCCUGACCACCAAACUGAAGCACCUUUGUGCUGACCUCAGGGUUGGGUGCCUGUGAACCUGGACAGCCUACCAGUGCCUUGCCAGGAAACAAUCGCUUCCAUUUGAAUUGUCUUAGGAAGAUUCUGAAGAGGUCCAGGAGGACCAGGAGGAGGUCCAGACACAGAAAUCCUUCUCAAUUUAAACUGGCAAGCCUUCAAACUCUACUGCAGAGAACAUGACUCUGUUGGGCUGAGCGCAUUGUUCAAAUGCCAAAUGGAUACUUGCCAAAAAGACUCUUUUAUGAAGAAAUCCCACAGAACAAAAACUCACAAGGUGGUCAGAAAAAGUGAUACAAGGACAUUUGUCAAGAUCUCUCCUAAGAACUUUAGAAUCGAUUACAUGACAUCUGAGAAGGUACUGUGCUCUGUGAGCAAAGCAGAAUUGAAUUAGCCCUGGAGAAAUGCAAGAUGUGCAAAGUUAAAAGAACCCACCUCAAAUGUUCCUAGGAACUAUUUGGAUCCAACAUGUGGCAGAAUAUUUAGAAUUUAUAUUGAUCUGUUUGGCCACAGGUGGACACAUUAACUUUAAUAUAAUGAUGUCAUUUCAGUCUUCUUUGAGAACAAAGGACGACAACUAACCAACCAACCAACAAUAACCUUUGCUAGUUAAGGGAGAGACUAAGUAAGAGUCUCCAACAGAAGCAGUAACUGAACAAAUAAAUGACCUAUUUAGAGAAGUAUUAUUCCUUCUUCCUGAGAGGACUAAGUCAUCACAGGACCCCAUAGGAACUUCCUCAAUGAACCAGGCUUGAAUUCAGAAAUAUUUUCUUCCAUAUAAAAAAAACAUAAGCUUUUUUUUACAUUUCAGACAUCCUGGUGCUAAGGGUGCCAGAUUUGGAGGGAAAAAAAACACAACAACUGGGUUUGACUCCCAGUUCAAUUAAUUACUGCCUAUGCAGAUUAUUUGGGCAAGUUACUCCCUUUCUUUGGAUCUCUGAUUCUUUAUCUGUCAAUCCCUAGGGGUUCAGCUAUAUGAUCUCAAAGUUCCCUUAUAGCUCAGAAUCUAUUAUCCUGUGAGUCAGUCUGUUCCAGUCUACCUACAAUUAGAGAUGUUUCAAUCAUCUCUGUGGUCAGUGAGUAGAAGGGAGAUGGCUUUAGAAGAUCAGCCUUGCCUGCUGUGCUGCUGCUCUGCAGGCCCACAAAAAGCCUUGACUUGUAACUUUACAAAACAAAAAAAUAUCUUCACCAGGUUUCUAAUCUUUACGACCUUUCAAGAUGGUACACCUCUAUUGGCAAAUUAAUCAAUCAAGAGGCCUGGGAAAAGUCUCUGGCAGGCAGUUUUGAAGGAAGGCAGAAAUUCCAGAAGAUGGAGGUAAGGAAGGUCAUCAUUCUACGUAUGGGAGCCAUAGCAACAAAGACAGGAAAUGGAGCAGUAUGAGGGAUAACAGAUCUUUGGGCUACAUCUUGGAGAGGUCGGAGGGGAGCAAUACAUAAGAAUGAAAAGACAGGAAUGGACCAGCUUAUGAAGUUUUAAAUGUCAACAAGCAGUCACUGCAGUUUUAGCAAGUAAGACUAAGAAAUCCAACAUGAUGAGAAACCCUAUCCAAAGGAAGAACCAUGAAAACAAGCACCUGCUUUAUAUUUCCCAGGGACUUUGGGAGAAGAGAAUUCAAAGGAUUACUCUUGGAUCAAAUUACAGAACUAGGAGCAUCAUCAGUUUAGAACUGGAAAAGACCUUGGAGGCCAUGGAGUACAACCCCCUCAUUUUAUAAAUGAGGAAAGUGAGAUACAAGGUUUAGUGCUUGCAUGGCCUAGUGGAUAAAAGCAGUGAACUCAAGAGUGAGGAAGACAUACGUGAGUUUGCAUCCAAGCCCAGAUACUUCCAGGCUGCAAUGGAUUAUUUAAUCUCUUUCAACCUCAAUUUCCUCAACUCUACAAAAAUUAAAGAUAACUAUUUUGUGUGAGGAUUAAGUAAGACAACCUAAGUAACCUAGAAGUUUUUUAUAUAUAGUUGUGAAUGGCUGAAUAAAUUGUGGUAUAUGCAUGUUAUGGAAUAUUAUUGUUCUGUAAGAAAUGACCAGCAGGAUGAUUUCAAAGAGGACUGGAGAGACACUUCUAUGAAUUGAUGAUGAGUGAAAUGAGCAGAACCAGGUGAUCAUCAAGUCCUAUUGAGUAAAUAGCAACAAUAAAUUUGUAAAAAAAAAAAAAAAAAAAAAA